AGGGUGCAGGUGAGGUGUGGGCGCCUUCCCAUGUGUGUUCGUUAUCUCAGGUGAGGAGGCCCCCGUGUGGGAGACGCAAAUUAAUAGAAAGGCGAGGCUCCCUUCCCACCACCACCACCACCACCGCCACCACUACCACUACCAGCAACGCGUCAGUCCCACCCACUGCCUCCAGGUUAUUGCAUCUCAAGUCUUGAAAAUACAGUGGGGAGGAAAUGUUAUGCCACUUGUGAGUGAAUGAAUGACGUGAAAUAAAAUGAGGUAAUGUUUUUUUAGUGUUUGAGUCCUUCUACUCCACUUUUCUUUAUUUUUAUUGUGGUCAUUGUAUACCAGCUUUGAAAAUACUGUGAGGAGGAAAUGUUAUACCACCUGUGAGUGAAUGAAUGACGUGAAAUAAAAUGAAGUAAUCUUU